rnacentral:tRNA from 1 species
GAAAGAGGCAUGAAGCAAUAAGGAUUGCUAAUCCUUACCCCCGCGGCUAAACUCCGCGGCUCAUUCA